rnacentral:misc_RNA from 1 species
GCUCCUCCAUCCGUAGCAUUCUCAAGUUUUAUCUGCUCAACACUUUUGACAAGAGGUUGAGCUCUUUGAGCACUUCGAACUCCAGCUCGAACUUUAAAGCCUAAUUUCAGAAGCUCCCUUACAGUCCGAGAACCAACCCUACCGGUUGCACCAGCAACAAAAACAAGAUUUGCAUCUUUUGAUUUGACAUCUUUUGCAGUUCCUUGAGGUUCCAAUGAGCUAAUUUUUGCUGAAAUUUGAGUUCUGAAACGAAGGGUCUUAAGGUUUUUGGAAUUUGGGCCCCUUUUAGUGCUAGUUUGAAUCAAUGUAAUUGGGUGUCCACACAAAAAUGGCUUCUCUGCUAAAGCAGUUGCAGGGAUAUUGAGUGUCUGCAAGCAACGCAGCUCCAUUAUUGAUUUCGUUGGAACUCUGUUGGAGGUGUGCGUUUAAGG